UACAGAGGUCCCGAGCGUUGUUCGGAUUCACUGGGCGUAAAGGGUGCGUAGGUGGUGAGGUAAGUCGGAUGUGAAAUCUCCGGGCUCAACCCGGAAAUGGCAUUGGAAACUACCUUGCUAGAGGAUUUGAGGGGGAUUGGAAUACUUGGUGUAGCAGUGAAAUGCGUAGAUAUCAAGUGGAACACCAGUGGCGAAGGCGAAUCCCUAGAAAAUACCUGACACUGGGGCACGAAAGCUAGGGGAGCAAACAGG
rnacentral:rRNA from 1 species